UACGGAGGGGGCUAGCGUUGUUCGGAAUUACUGGGCGUAAAGCGCACGUAGGCGGCGAUUUAAGUCAGAGGUGAAAGCCCGGGGCUCAACUCCGGAAUUGCCUUUAAGACUGCAUCGCUAGAAUCGUGGAGAGGUGAGUGGAAUUCCGAGUGUAGAGGUGAAAUUCGUAGAUAUUCGGAAGAACACCAGUGGCGAAGGCGACUCACUGGACACGUAUUGACGCUGAGGUGCGAAAGCGUGGGGAGCAAACAGG
rnacentral:rRNA from 1 species